AGAAUAUUAAUCAGCCAUGAGAAAUAAAGAAAUCCUGCCAUUUGCAACAACGUGAAUGAAUCUUGAGGGCAAUGUGCUAAAUGAGAAGUCCAACAGAAAAAGGCAAAUACUGUUUGAUACCACUUACAUAUGGAAAUAAAAAAAACAAACUUGUAGGAACAGAGUAGAAUCAUGGUUACCGUGGUUCCCAGGGGUGAAGUUAAGAAGGUAAACAAGUUCUGGAGAUCCAAUGUACAGCAUUGUAAUUAUAGUUAAAAAUAUUGUCUUAUAUACUUGAAAGUUACUAAGAACUUAAAUGUUCUCAUCGCAAAAAAAAAAAAAGUAACUGUGAUAUGCUGGAAGUGUUAAAGUGCUAUGGUAGUAAUCAUAUUGUAAUGUAUAUGUGCAUCAGAUCAUCACAUUGUACACCAUAAACUUACACAAUGCUAUAUGUCAGUUAACACCUCAAUAAAGCUGUGGGGGGGAGUGAUUCUCCCAAAUCUAUUAUGUUGGUAUCUCCCCUGCCAUUACUGCCACAGCACACAUACACUCCUUCUCUGCUUUGCUAUAGAUUUCAUAAAGAUUUACUGUUAUUCACAGGGAUUUAGGAAAGGUAAACAUGUGUCCUCAACAUUCUUGGAGCUAUACACCAUAUUUGUUACUUAAACUAAGUCAUCAAAAAAUUUUAAUGAAGAAGGUAUACAAAUGAAAAGCACAUGAAAAUAUGGUCACUCAUUAGUCAUUGGGGAAAUGCAAAUUAAAGCCACAAUUGGAUACCCAGUAGAAUGACUAAAAAAGACUGAGGAUACCAAGUAAUGGAGAGGAUGUGGAGCAAUUGUUAAUCUCAUUCAGUGUUGAUAGGAAUAUAAAAUGGUACAGGAAUAGAUUUGAUCCAUGUUUCUCACACAGAAACCUCUUCCUUAUACUAUGAAGCAGAAGGGAGAGGAUCAUCCUUGUGAUCCUCUAACUCCCAGUUAUCUGGAGUUAGAAUUGACAUUCAAAAAAUAGCACGUACUUAAUGUGUAGAUUGAGGAGUCUCAUAAAACAGUCACUAUAAUCAGGAUUAGGAUCAAAUCUAUCACCCUCCAAAGUUUCCUCUUUUCCCUUUGAAACUCCUCAUUCCCACCCUCUGCCCCAUUCAUCCACCCCAAUCUUCAGUUAACUACUGAUGUUUUCCAUAACUAUAUUUUAGUACGUGCUUUUUUUUUUUUUUUAACUGGCUUCUUUCACUGUUUUGGUGAAAAACAGUGUCCUUCCAUUUAAUUGCAGAGUUACUGCAUAGACAUGCCACAAUUUAUUCCCUUGUUGUUGACUUUUUUUGUUGUUUUCAGUUUCGGGGCAUUUGAAAUAAAGCAGCUAUGGAUAUUUUUGUACAAGUCUUUACAUGGACACAUACUUUCAUUUCUUUUGAAUAAAUUCCUAGGAGUAGAAUAGCUAGGUUGUAUGGCAAGUAUAUGUCUAACUUUAAAAGAAACUGUCAAACUACUUUUUAAAAGAGUUUGCUAGGACCGUAAAGCAUCACAUUGCUCUCUCCAAUGAACUCUCUUAACUUCAGAAAUUCAUAAUGGAUCUUGUAAGCAGCCUCAGCCAACCUACAAGGAGUCCAGAAAUUGUUUCAACAAGGCCCUUUAUGGCACAACGUCAGAAAUAGCAAUGUCAUGAGAACGUCAUUGUCAUAAGCAAUGUCAAUGAGAAUAUGGAGAAUGCUGUGGGAAGGCUGUACAUGGAAGCAGCACUUGAUGGAGAAAGUAAACAUAGGGUUGAGGAUUUGAUUACACAGACCCAUGAGGUUUUUUAUGCAGACUUCAGAUGACCUCACUAGGAUGGAUACCGAAAUGAAAAAGUAAGCUGAGGAAAAGGCCUUAGCCAUUAAAGGAAGAAUUAGCUAUCCUGAUGACAUUAUUUCAAAUGAUAAUAACUGAAUAAUGAAUACCUCAAGUUGGACUACAGGAAAGAUGAAUACUUUGAAAACAUAAUUCAAAAUUUGAAGUUCAGCCAAAACAAACAACUAAAGAAGCUCUGAGAAAAAGUGGACAAGCACAGAAGCUGUAAUCAAUGCAUUUUAUUCUUUAGGCAGAGAUCAGAUAGUCUUCCCAGCAGGCAUUCUGCAGCUCCCCUCCUUCAGUGCCCAGCAGUCUAACUCAUUGAACUACCGGGGUAUUGGCACAGUCAUAGGACACGAAAUCACCCAUGGCUUCUAUGACAAUGGCAGAAAUUGUAACAAGGAUGGAGACCUUGUUGACUGGUAGACUCAACAGUCAGCAAAUAAUUUUAAAGACCAAUCCCAUGCAUGGUGUACCAGUAUGGAAACUCUGGGACCUAGCGGGUGGACAGUAUCUCAAUGGAAUUAAUACAUGGGAGAAAAUAUUGCUGAUAAUGGAGGUAUUGGCCAAGCAUACAGAGCCUAUCAAAAUUAUGUUAAAAAGAAUG